rnacentral:rRNA from 1 species
GAUGAACGCUAGCGGCAGGCCUAAUACAUGCAAGUCGAGGGGUAGUGGUUGCUUGCAACCAUGAGACCGGCGCACGGGUGCGUAACGCGUAUGCAACCUACCUUCAUCUGGGGGAUAGCCCGAAGAAAUUCGGAUUAACACCGCUUAAAAUCACAGUACCGCAUGGUACAAUGAUCAAAUAUUUAUAGGAUUGAGAUGGG